rnacentral:rRNA from 1 species
CCUACGGGGGGCUGCAGUGGGGAAUUUUGGACAAUGGGCGCAAGCCUGAUCCAGCAAUGCCGCGUGCAGGAAGAAGGCCUUCGGGUUGUAAACUGCUUUUGUCAGGGAAGAAAUCUUCUGGGCUAAUACCCCGGGAGGAUGACGGUACCUGAAGAAUAAGCACCGGCUAACUACGUGCCAGCAGCCGCGGUAAUACGUAGGGUGCGAGCGUUAAUCGGAAUUACUGGGCGUAAAGCGUGCGCAGGCGGCUUUGCAAGACAGAUGUGAAAUCCCCGGGCUCAACCUGGGAACUGCAUUUGUGACUGCAAGGCUAGAGUACGGCAGAGGGGGAUGGAAUUCCGCGUGUAGCAGUGAAAUGCGUAGAUAUGCGGAGGAACACCAAUGGCGAAGGCAAUCCCCUGGGCCUGUACUGACGCUCAUGCACGAAAGCGUGGGGAGCAAACAGGAUUAGAUACCCCAGUAGUC